UACGUAGGGGGCAAGCGUUAUCCGGAUUUACUGGGUGUAAAGGGAGCGUAGACGGCAGGGCAAGUCUGGAGUGAAAGGCAGGGGCCCAACCCCUGGACUGCUCUGGAAACUGUCCGGCUGGAGUGCAGGAGAGGUAAGUGGAAUUCCUAGUGUAGCGGUGAAAUGCGUAGAUAUUAGGAGGAACACCAGUGGCGAAGGCGGCUUACUGGACUGUAACUGACACUGAGGCUCGAAAGCGUGGGGAGCAAACAGG
rnacentral:rRNA from 1 species